rnacentral:rRNA from 1 species
GGCUCAGUAACAUGUAGUCAAUCUGCCCUCAGGACGGGAAUACCCACGGGAAACUGUGGCUAACUCCAGAUAAUCCAUCUAUGCUGGAAUGCUUGAUGGGUAAAAACAACGGCGAAUUGGAGCCGUUUGGCCUGAGGAUGAGACUGCACCUGAUUAGGUAGUUGGUGAGGUAACGGCUCACCAAGCCGAUAAUCAGUAGGGGCAAUGGGAGUUGGAGCCCCGAGAAGGGCACUGAGACAAGGGCCCUAGUCCUACGGGAUGCAGCAGGCGCGAAACCUUUGCCAUGCGCGAAAGCGUGACAGGGGAACUCCGAGUGGUAGGAUGGUUUUACCUUCCUAUCUUUUGGCCAAUCCAAACAAUUGGCAGAAUAAGAUCUGGGUAAGACCAGUGCCAGCCGCCA